CCUACGUGAGGCUGCAGUAGGGAAUCUUCCACAAUGGGCGAAAGCCUGAUGGAGCAACGCCGCGUGGGUGAAGAAGGUCUUCGGAUCGUAAAACCCUGUUGUUAGAGAAGAAAGUGCGUGAGAGUAACUGUUCACGUUUCGACGGUAUCUAACCAGAAAGCCACGGCUAACUACGUGCCAGCAGCCGCGGUAAUACGUAGGUGGCAAGCGUUAUCCGGAUUUAUUGGGCGUAAAGGGAACGCAGGCGGUCUUUUAAGUCUGAUGUGAAAGCCUUCGGCUUAACCGGAGUAGUGCAUUGGAAACUGGGAGACUUGAGUGCAGAAGAGGAGAGUGGAACUCCAGGUGUAGCGGUGAAAUGCGUAGAUAUAUGGAAGAACACCAGUGGCGAAAGCGGCUCUCUGGUCUGUAACUGACGCUGAGGUUCGAAAGCGUGGGUAGCAAACAGGAUUAGAUACCCGGGUAGUC
rnacentral:rRNA from 1 species